rnacentral:sRNA from 1 species
CAUGGCUGGUAUCUACAUGUCCCUCACAUGUGACUUCAAUUCAUAUCUUACACACCUAAAAUAGCAGAGGCCAAGUUGUGGACGCGCAAACAUCAACUUAUUACCGGAAAAAAGAAUGACGAACGAGAGUGCUAAACGCCAGAUGUCUAUCCGUCUCAAAAUCAUCUGACGCUCCAUAUGAAAGAUUUGAAUGCUACGUAUGUUUGAGAGUAGCAACAGUUCAUCUAAUCUCGCUUCUCCAGCAUCCAGCAGCAUACACAGAUGUUUCGGCGUAGCCUCGAACAGCUACUGCAGAAUGACAGUUAAUCAGAAGCAAAGGGGAGUUCUCUGCCUACCACCAACCAAUCGUCAUAUAGGUAAAAUAGGCAAUUAUGGAUAAUUGUUUUUAGGAUAACCGGGAGUUCUAGUUAAUAAUGCGCAGAACCGACGAGAGAGAUAGGAAAAAAGGUACAUCAUAAUAAGAUCGGAUAGAUAGACUUUUAGUUACCCAUCGCAUGCCAUCUAUUAUUAUUCUUC